rnacentral:rRNA from 1 species
GACGAACCGUGCGAACGUUGUUCGGAUUCACUGGGCUUAAAGGGCGCGUAGGCGGGCUCGCAAGUCAGGGGUGAAAUCCUCCGGCUCAACCGGAGAACAGCCUUUGAUACUGCGAGUCUCGAGGGAGGUAGGGGCAUGUGGAACUUCCGGUGGAGCGGUGAAAUGCGUAGAUAUCGGAAGGAACGCCGGUGGCGAAAGCGACGUGCUGGACCUCUACUGACGCUGAGGCGCGAAAGCCAGGGGAGCAAACGGG